GAUCAUGGCUCAGGAUGAACGCUAGCGACAGGCCUAACACAUGCAAGUCGAGGGGCAGCGGAGAGGUAGCAAUACCUUUGCCGGCGACCGGCGCACGGGUGAGUAACACGUAUGCAAUCCACCUGUAACAGGGGGAUAACCCGGAGAAAUCCGGACUAAUACCCCAUAAUAUGGGCGCUCCGCAUGGAGAGCCCAUUAAAGAGAGCAAUUUUGGUUACAGAUGAACAUGCGUUCCAUUAG
rnacentral:rRNA from 1 species